rnacentral:rRNA from 1 species
GACGAACGCUGGCGGCGUGCUUAACACAUGCAAGUCGAACGGAGUGGCGAACGGGUGAGUAACACGUGGGUGAUCUGCCUUGCACUUCGGGAUAAGCUUGGGUAACUGGGUCUAAUACCGGAUAGUGCAAGAUGAGCUCGUGGCCUAUCAGCUUGUUGGUGGGGUAAUGGCCUACCAAGGCGUCGACGGGUAGCCGGCCUGAGAGGGUGUACGGCCACAUUGGGAGUGAGAUACGGGCCAGAGAGCAACGGGAGGCAGGAGAGGGGAAUAUUGCACAAUGGGCGGAAGCCGGAUGAAGCGACGCGGGGGGGGGGAGGAAGGCCUUCGGGUUGUAAACUCCUUUCGACAGGGACGCGGUACCUGUAUAAGAAGCACCGGCUAACUACGUGCCAGCAGCCGCGGUAAUUC